rnacentral:rRNA from 1 species
UUCCGUAGGUGAACCUGCGGAAGGAUCAUUAAUGAAUUACAAGUCGAUUGUCUGUGCUGGCAGCAAUGCAUGUGCACGACAGUUGCAAAUCCACACACCUGUGCACUUUAGACUUUGAGGUUCGCACUGGUAACACGGUGCAGUCGGCYRACCUUUGGUUGGCCUGAGCCUUGAGGUAUUUACACACACUCUGAAUGUAAUGGAAUGUACUUGUGCUUAAUCGCGCAUUUAAUACAACUUUCAACAACGGAUCUCUUGGCUCUCGCAUCGAUGAAGAACGCAGCGAAAUGCGAUAAGUAAUGUGAAUUGCAGAAUUCAGUGAAUCAUCGAAUCUUUGAACGCACCUUGCACCCUUUGGUAUUCCGAAGGGUACGCCCGUUUGAGUGUCAUUGUAAUCUCACACCCCAAGACUUUUGUCAAAAGGGAUUGUGGACUUGGAUGUUGUUGUGUAACUACAACUCGUCUCAAAUGCAUGAGUGUACCCUGCAUCUGCAGCGUAUUCGGUGUGAUAAGCAUCUUCACCGGAGUCAAGCCCUCUUGGGCGCGCUUGUGAAUGUAGGCCCUGYGCUGCAAACSGUCCUUGGACAAACAACUGACAAUUUGACCUCAAAUCGGGCGGGACUACCCGCUGAACUUAAGCAUAUCAAUAAGCGGAGGAAAAGAAACUAACAAGGAUUCCCCUAGUAACGGCGAGUGAAGAGGGAAAAGCUCAAAUUUUAAAUCUGGUGUCUUCGGCGCCCGAGUUGUAAUCUAGAGAAGUGUUUUCYGUGUUGGACCGUGCAAAAGUUCCCUGGAACGGGGCGUCAUAGAGGGUGAGAAUCCCGUAUAUGGCAUGGACUCCCAAUGCUCUGUGAUACACUCUCGACGAGUCGAGUUGUUUGGGAAUGCAGCUCAAAAUGGGUGGUAAAUUCCAUCUAAAGCUAAAUAUUGGCGAGAGACCGAUAGCGAACAAGUACCGUGAGGGAAAGAUGAAAAGCACUUUGGAAAGAGAGUGAAACAGUACGUGAAAUUGUUGAAAGGGAAGCGUUUGAAGUCAGUCACGCUUGUCGGAACUCAGCCUGGCUUCUGCCUGGUGUACUUUCUGGUGAGCGGGUCAGCGUCAGUUUUGGUCGAGGGAGAAAGGCAUUGGGAAUGUGGCAGUCUUYGGGCUGUGUUAUAGCCCUUUGUUGUAUGCCUCGACUGGGAUUGAGGACUGCAGCGCGCCUUUAUGGCCGGGGUUCGCGCCCUCGGUACGCGCUUAGGAUGCUGGCAUAAUGGCUUUAAGCGACCCGUCUUGAAACACGGACCAAGGAGUCUAACAUGUGCGCGAGUGUUUGGGUGUCAAACCCGAGCGCGUAAUGAAAGUGAAAGGUCGGGAACCCGUAUGGGUGCACCGACGCCCGGAGCAGACCUUCUGUGACGCAUCCGCGGUAGAGCGUAUAUGUUGGGACCCGAAAGAUGGUGAACUAUGCCUGAAUAGGGUGAAGCCAGAGGAAACUCUGGUGGAGGCUCGUAGCGAUUCUGACGUGCAAAUCGAUCGUCAAAUUUGGGUAUAGGGGCGAAAGACUAAUCGAACCAUCUAGUAGCUGGUUCCUGCCGAAGUUUCCCUCAGGAUAGCAGAAACUCAUUAUCAGCCUUGUGCGGUAAAGCGAAUGAUUAGAGGCCUUGGGGUUGAAACAACCUUAACCUAUUCUCAAACUCUAAAUGUGCAAGAUAGGGUUGUCACUUGAUUGGACUUCUCUGUGGGUGAGAGUUUCUAGUGGG